CAUCUUAGCCGGCUGAGACCCAGAUAGGAUAGGGAGAUCAUGAUCUUUCCACCUACAAUCAAGGUGUGCUUCCAAUAGAACCAACAGAAAAUGAAAUAGCCUGACAACUACUGGCCAUCUAAGAGGGAAGGUAUCUAUUGCUUAAUCUGCCUCUCUGCUCCACCAAAAAGAGCGGUGAAAGGAAAUGGAAUUUCCUCCUCAUAGUGGGAGAAUGCAUCACUACCUUUUUCACUUUCAACUCACCCCAAUACAUACUCUGAAUUUAGAGCCACUGGGAUAAAACUGAGGAUGGCACUGGGGUUUGGUGGAAAGGAGAAAGACUUAGACUCCAUAUGGAAUAAUUGUGUUGAAAUGAAUAGGACUGAAUGUAAAUCAAAUGAAAAUGCCUUUUAACAUUUUAUUGUGAAAAUUUCAAGUUGUACACAAAUGAUUUGAGAACAGUAUAAUUAAACCACGUCCUUAAAACUCAUCCUCUAUAAUGAUGAACAUAUGUGUUCAAAUACAUAUGGAUAAUUGUGUUUCCUCUAUAAACUGAUGGAGCUCAGGACAUGCUACCCCAAAAUAUGGCACCGUGGCAUUUAGGAAGCAGCAGACCUGGAGGGUCACUCUCAUCUUCUCUUCACCCUUCUUCCCUGAAGCAGGUCAUAAAAGAAUUCUCUGACCUUCCUCUGAAGUAGGUCAUAAAACUUUCAUUCCAGAGGUGCCCUCUCUAUUAUGCCUGGAGAAAAGAAACGUUCUUAUUCUCGAAGACUCAGAGACAUACAGAAGAAUCUGAACAAACCCUUGUUAGGUUCCCUGCAGUUUAUUACCAUUAAGUCAUACCCUCUUUGUCCAAUCAUGCUUCUUCAUGACUGUCCACUCAAAAAACUCGGCGUGAAGAUACACAGGUUUCCCUGUUCUUCAUUUUUGAAGUCACCUAAGACUUAACAUUAAACAAACGUGUAUGCUUUUCCAUUACUAAUCUGUCUUUUGUUAUAGAUGCCUCAUCCAUAAACCUUGUGAUGGGUGAGUAAAAGAUAUUACUGUUGACCCUUGAACAAUGUAGGAGUUAGGUCAGCAACAAUGUGUUGACUCUGAGCAGUAGAAAAUCCAAGCAUAACUUUUGACUCACCCCCAAAACUUAACUCUAAAUAACCUACUGUUUACUGGAUGCCCUACCAAUAACAUAAGCAGUCAAUUAAUACACAUUUUGUAUGUUAUAUAUACAACAGAGUAUUCUUACAAUACAGUAAACUAGAGAAAAGGAAAUGUUUUUAAGAGAAUCAUAAUGAAGAGAAAAUAUCUUUACUAUUCACUAAAUGAAAGUGGAUCAUCAUAAAGCUCUUCAUACUCAUCAUAUUCACGUUUAGUAGGCAGAGAAGGAUGUGGAGGGGUUGGUUUUGCUGUCUCAAGGGAGGCAGAGGCAGAAGAAAAUCUGGGUAUAAGUGGACGCACAUAACUCAAACUCGUGUUGUUUAAGGGUCAACUGUACUUUUUCUCUCUUACAGCUCUGACUUCCUAAUUUUUUUCUUUCAAUUUUUUUAACAUGACUUCAAUUUAAUCUGUAAAUACCUCAGUGUAUACCUCUAAGAGAAAAUACUUUUUAAAAAUAUAACAUUACUAUAGUUACAACUAAAAGUUAAACAAUAAUUUCUUAAUGUUAUCUAAUAUUCCAUCCGUGUUCAAAUUUUCUCAACUGGAUCACAAAUAUAUUUUGUCACCUAUUAGGAGACCUAUUUAGGAGAAGGACAGUGCUGCUAACACCAUUAUCUCAUUUGGAAGUCAGGAUUGGUUCACAAUAUUUAUAGGAAAGCACCACAGUAGAUGGAAACUUCCCAAAUUAGUAAGUGCCAGAUUCAUCUCAGCCCAGGAUUGGAUCAGGUGAUUCCUCACCAUUGUGUCUGGCUAAUAAAGUAAAGGCUGAGCAUUUGUGGAAGAAGGUAUUACAUUGAACCUUGCUUAUACAUAUAUCUGGCAGCCUAUCAAUUCCUAGACACAUAAAUAAUAUGAAUUGUAUUAAAAAGCCAAAAAAAAAGAAAACACAGAAGAUAGAAAUAUAUCUGCACCUAAUUCAGAUAUGGGGCUAGCAACAAGGACUUUAAAUAACUAUCAUUAAUAUCUACAAAAAAUAGGAAGAUGGAGAAAAUGUGUGAAAAGAGAAUUAGAAUUUGUAAAAAUUUUAAAUGAAAAUUCCAGAAUUUAAAAAUAUAUUUACUUUAAUUAUGAGCUCAAUAAGUGGAUUUAGGAGAUUAGACACAAGAAUAUGUCACUUGCAAAGUAGAAGACAUGUAGAAAAUAUUCAACAGAGACAUGUAGAGAAAGAAAAAAUAUACAGGAAAUAGAAUAAGGAAUAUGUGGGGAAAAUGUUAUAUUGUGUAAUUAGGGUUUCAGAAAGAGACUCCAGAAAAAAAUAUGCAAAAGAGCAGAGAUAAUGGCUAAAAAUUUUGCUAAACUGAUGAAAAUGAUUCACCCACAGAGUUAAGAAGCUCUGCUACUGCCAAGCAGAAUAAAUAUAAAGGAAAUAGUUAUAACAAAAUGCUGAAAGGCAAAGAGAAAACCCUACAAAUAGAUUAACAAAAGAAGACAUAUUACCUUCAGAAGAGCAAAACUAAAUCUAAAGCUAACUUCUCAGUGAAAAUGAUGGAAAGCCAGACGAUGAAAUGACAUCAUUCAUAAGCUGGAAGAACAGAAUCUACAUUUAAAUCAUGGGAAAAUUAAAAUAUUAAUAAGACAUAAAGAUGUUUUCAAAAAAUAAAUUGAAAGGAUGGUACACUAAGAUAGUUACAAAAGUUAUUACAGUGAGUGCUUCAAGUGAGAGAUAAAUGAUUGCAGAUUUGAAUACAGAAAUGCAUAAAGAAAGAGGAACAGAAAGGGUAACUUCAUUACAUGUAAUGCAAAUAUAUGUAAAAGAAGAACACAUAAAAUAAUUAUUUAAAUUAAGGGGGUUAAGUCAAAUAAAAGUGUUUUAAUAUUUUAACAUUGUUAGGAAAUAGAAAUCCAAAAUUUCUUAAAAGUAUAACAAUGAAAAUCCAACAAAAUAUAAACAUAUACUGCAUUAGGAAAACAAUUUAACUACAGAACACAGGGGAGAAAAUGAAAAAACUGAAUUUUCUUCUUUAUAACCUACACCAAAAUCAACUGCAGUUUGAUUGCAAACCUACUUAUGACAAGCAUAACUACAAACUUUUAGAUAAAAAUAAUAAAAGAAAAUUGUCAUAACCUUGGGUUAGGCAAAGAGAAACAUUAAUUGUAAGUUUAGACUGAUAUUUCCAAUUCAAAUUUAAGACAGCAGUGUUUUCAGUUAAUACUUUAUUUUCAUAGUUUGCCUCUAUUUUUCUUUAGCAAAAAAUUCUGGUUUCUAAUGUCUUUAAAAGAAAUUAUGAUUGUUUUACUACGGUUUCAGAAAACUAUGCCAUAUUCUUACUGAAUAUGAUUACUGAAUACACUUCACAAUUUCUUUGGACUUUAAAUGUCUCUUCUUUGUGUGUUUUAGCCAUCAACAUGAUAUAUG
rnacentral:lncRNA from 10 species